CCACCUGACCCCAUGCCGAACUCAGAAGUGAA
rnacentral:rRNA from 14 species